rnacentral:rRNA from 1 species
CCAAUAGCGUAUAUUAAAGUUGCUGCAGUUAAAAAGCUCGUAGUUGAAUUUCGGGAUCAAUAUGUUGGUCGUGCCUCGGUACGUACUGGCUUAUUGGUUUCUCCCUUCUGACGAACCAUGAUGUCAUUUAUUUGGUGUUAUGAGGAAUCAGGACUGUUACUUUGAAAAAAUUAGAGUGUUUAAAGCAGGCUCACGCUUGAAUACAUUAGCAUGGAAUAAUGAAAUAGGACGUUUGAUUCUAUUUUGUUGGUUUCUAGGAUCGACGUAAUGAUUAAUAGGGAUAGUUGGGGGCAUUAGUAUUCAAUUGUCAGAGGUGAAAUUCUUGGAUUUAUUGAAGACUAACUACUGCGAAAGCAUUUGCCAAGGAUGUUUUCAUUAAUCAAGAACGAAAGUUAGGGGAUCGAAGACGAUCAGAUACCGUCGUAGUCUUAACCAUAAACUAUGCCGACUAGGGAUCGGAUGAUGUUAAUUUUUUAAUGACUCAUUCGGCGCCUUACG